rnacentral:rRNA from 1 species
UACGUAGGGGGCAAGCGUUAUCCGGAUUUACUGGGUGUAAAGGGAGCGUAGACGGUUGUUCAAGUCUGAUGUGAAAGCCCUCGGCUUAACUGGGGGAGUGCAUUGGAAACUGAAGGACUAGAGUAUCGGAGAGGCAAGUGGAAUUCCUAGUGUAGCGGUGAAAUGCGUAGAUAUUAGGAGGAACACCAGUGGGGAAGGCGGCUUGCUGGACGAAAACUGACGUUGAGGCUCGAAAGCGUGGGGAGCAAACAGG